rnacentral:tRNA from 1 species
UUAAUUGAAACCAAAAAGGAGGUCUAUCACUGUUAAUGAUAAAAUUGGAUUAAAAAUCCCAAUUAAA